CAAGCCACUCUCGACACCAUCCUAUAUCUCUCAUCUCCCUGUUUCGAUAACAAUUCGCCGGAGACAACCGGAGAGGAAGCUCGCAACAUCGGAGACGUCGCCGGAACUCGAAUUCUCACCGAAGUCGUCACGUCGGAACUCACGUUAUCCUUUUGUUCGGAAUCCAACGCCGUCGGAGAAGACGACCAGAGUUUCGUCGGAGUUCAAGCUUUCGCCGGUUAAAUGGAGGUCGCCGGAGCUUCACGACGGGAACCAUGUCAAACGUCGUCUCGGAUAAUUGCCUUGCUCGUUAUCUUGGAUUGUUCUAAUUUUUACUCAUACGUCCUUACAAGAAGCGCAACACAAUCUAAGGUGAGUAUACAUGACCCAUUUUCCAUUUUCACACUUUUGGGUGCAAUAUGUAUUCUAUAUCAAUCACAUUAUUCACUUCAAACAGCUUUAUGCACACUCUAUCCAAAUUGCACGUGAUACAUUUGAUUCAUGUUAUACAUGUUAUGCUAUUGUAAACUCUCAUGACUAUGUGUUCAUUAACUUUCCAAGCCUCCCCUAACAAUGGUAGCGCUAUAGGUUGAGAAACGCCCCUCCUGUUAUUCUCGCGGGUAUUGUUAGGUUAAUCUAUGUUAAAACCUCCCAUUAUUCUUUGGGAUAGGCACGUUAAUUGCGUUAAACUUUGGUUUUGACACAUAGAGUAACAUCGU